UUCUACUGCCACUGUUCCUUUGUGUAUUGGUUAAUACUAUCUUGACCUCUUAUUCUUAUUCAGAUUGUUGGAACAGUGUGCAGUCAGAUUGUUUAACUGCUUUGAAUUCAGUUAUGGCUCCAAAGAUGAGGUGGACAAGAAGUAAGAGAUUGUUAGAGUAGUAUGAAGAUGAAAAUCAUUAUGCUGAAAGGGAAGUCCAAGAAAUAUCUAAUGACCAGAAUGUAAUUGGU